rnacentral:rRNA from 1 species
GGGGGGGGGGGGCAAGCGUUGUUCGGAUUUACUGGGCGUAAAGGGCUCGUAGGCGGGCCACCUAAGUCGAUUGUGAAAUCCCUCGGGCUCAACCGGGGAACUGCGACCGAUACUGGGUGGCUUGAAGCCGGGAGAGGGAUGCGGAAUUCCAGGUGUAGCGGUGAAAUGCGUAGAUAUCUGGAGGAACACCCGUGGCGAAGGCGGCAUCCUGGACCGGCCUUGACGCUGAGGAGCGAAAGCUAGGGGAGCGAACGGGAUUAGAUACCCCGGUAGUCCUAGCCCUAAACGAUGAAUGCUUGGUGUGGCGGGUAUCGAUCCCUGCCGUGCCGUAGCUAACGCGUUAAGCAUUCCGCCUGGGGAGUACGGUCGCAAAGGCUG